rnacentral:ncRNA from 1 species
ACAAUACUCCGGAGAAUUCCUUGAAUGGAUGCCGAAGGUGCAAGCGGGUAAUACCGUAAUCUCUCAGGCAAAAGGACGGAGACAG